rnacentral:rRNA from 1 species
GUGAGGAAUUUUCCGCAAUGGGCGAAAGCCUGACGGAGCAAUGCCGCGUGAAGGAUGAAGGCCUAUGGGUUGUAAACUUCUUUUCUCAGAAAAGAAUUAUGACGGUAUCUGAGGAAUAAGCAUCGGCUAACUCUGUGCCAGCAGCCGCGGUAAGACAGAGGAUGCAAGCGUUAUCCGGAAUGAUUGGGCGUAAAGCGUCUGUAGGUUGUUUAAAAAGUAUUCUGUCAAAGAUUAGGGCUUAACCCUAGAUAGGCAGAAUAAACUUUUAAGCUAGAGUUUGGUAGAGGCAGAGGGAAUUCCCGGUGGAGCGGUGAAAUGCGUAGAGAACGGGAGGAACACCAAAGGCGAAGGCACUCUGCUGGGCCAAUACUAACACUGAGAGACGAAAGCGAGGGGAGCAAAUGGGAUUAGAUACCCCUGUAGUCC